AGUGAACGCUGGCGGUAUGCCUAACACAUGCAAGUCGAACGACCGCACAGUAAGAUCUUGCUCUUACGGGUGGCGAGUGGCGGACGGGUGAGACAUACAUCGGAAUCUUCUAUUUCGUGGAGGAUUACGGAAGGAAACUGACGCUACUACAUCAUACGACCUACGGGUGAAAGCAGUGGUGCUUCGCACCUUUCGUGAUACAUAUAGACGAUGUCGGAUUAGCUAGUUGGCUAGGUAAAGGCCCACCAAGGCGACGAUCCGUAGCUGGUCUGAGAGGAUGAUCAGCCACACUGGAACUGAGACACGGUCCAGACUCCUACGGGAGGCAGCAGUGGGGAAUAUUGGGCAAUGGGCGCAAGCCUGAUCCAGCAAUACCGCGUGAGUGAAGAAGGCCUUCGGAUUGUAAAGCCCUGUUGUUGGGAAAGAAAAGAUGCAGGUUAAUACCCCGCUGUUCUGACGGUACCCAAUGAACAAGCAACGGCUAACUUCGUG
rnacentral:rRNA from 1 species